rnacentral:rRNA from 1 species
UACGUAGGGGGCAAGCGUUGUCCGGAUUUAUUGGGCGUAAAGCGCGCGUAGGCGGUUACUCAAGUCGGAUGUGAAAGCCCUCGGCUUAACUGAGGAAGUGCACCCGAAACUGAGUAGCUAGAGUACCAAAGAGGGUCGCGGAAUUCCCGGUGUAGAGGUGAAAUUCGUAGAUAUUGGGAGGAACACCAGUGGCGAAGGCGGCCACCUGGACCGGUUCUGACGCUGAUGCGCGAAAGCGUGGGUAGCAAACAGG